GAAUAUUGGACAAUGGGGGGAACCCUGAUCCAGCCAUGCCGCGCGUGUGAAGACUGCCUUUUGGUUGUAAAUCACUUUCAGCGAGGAGGACGACCUCUUGGUUAAUACCCAAGAUGCCUGGACGUUACCCGCAGAAUAAGCCCCCGCCAACUCUGUUCCAGCACCCGCCGUAAUACCGAGGGUGCAAGCGUUAAUCGGAUUUACUGGGCGUAAAGCGCGCGUAGGUGGCCAAUUAAGUCAAAUGUGAAAUCCCCGAGCUUAACUUGGGAAUUGCAUUCGAUACUGGUUGGCUAGAGUAUGGGAGAGGAUGGUAGAAUUCCAGGUGUAGCGGUGAAAUGCGUAGAGAUCUGGAGGAAUACCGAUGGCGAAGGCAGCCAUCUGGCCUAAUACUGACACUGAGGUGCGAAAGCAUGGGGAGCAAACA
rnacentral:rRNA from 1 species